UGCGUUGGAGGUGCAAAGUCAGCAAC
rnacentral:piRNA from 1 species